UACGUAGGGUGCAAGCGUUAAUCGGAAUUACUGGGCGUAAAGGGCGCGUAGGCGGCUUUGCGUGUCUUUCGUGAAAUCCCUCGGCUCAACUGAGGACGUGCGGAAGAAAACUGCAGGGCUGGAGUCCGGGAGAGGAGGGUGGAAUUCCCCAGUGUAGCGGUGAAAAUGCGUAGAUAUUGGGAGGAACACCGGUGGCGAAGGCGGCCCUCUGGACCGGUACUGACGCUGAUGCGCGAAAGCGUGGGGGAGCAAACGGG
rnacentral:rRNA from 1 species